UCCUGAUGCAGGUGCUGCUGUUGGAAGAGUUUUUGGGGAAGAGUUCCAGUUGUGAAACACAGAAAUGGUGAUGGAUACAGCAGGGGGCCACUAAAGGGCACAGUGGGAUUGCAUGGCUGCAAAUAAGGCCCAGAACUUGUGACUGCUCUGUGAGUUCACAACAGCAUCUGCAGGAGAGAUUGCCUCACAAAACUGGGUGCUUCAGUCUCCACAAUCAAAAAGAAGAAACUUCCAGCCAUUUAUGACAGGCUUGGUGGAAAUCUGAACUUUGCAGAAAUUCCACCAAAGAGAGAAGGUAUGAAUG